rnacentral:rRNA from 1 species
UACGUAGGGGGCAAGCGUUGUCCGGAAUCAUUGGGCGUAAAGCGCGUGUAGGCGGCCCGGUAAGUCCGCUGUGAAAGUCCAGGGCUCAACCCUGGGAUGCCGGUGGAUACUGUCGGGCUCGAGUCCGGAAGAGGCGAGUGGAAUUCCCGGUGUAGGGGUGAAAUCCGUAGAUAUCGGGAGGAAUACCAGCGGCGAAGGCGGCCUUCUGGACGGUGACUGACGCUGAGACGCGAAAGCGUGGGGAGCAAACAGG